rnacentral:rRNA from 1 species
GACGAACGCUGGCGGCGUGCCUAAUACAUGCAAGUAGAACGCUGAAGGAGGAGCUUGCUUCUCCGGAUGAGUUGCGAACGGGUGAGUAACGCGUAGGUAACCUGCCUGGUAGCGGGGGAUAACUAUUGGAAACGAUAGCUAAUACCGCAUAAGAGUAGAUGUUGCAUGACAUUUGCUUAAAAGGUGCAAUUGCAUCACUACCAGAUGGACCUGCGUUGUAUUAGCUAGUUGGUGGGGUAACGGCUCACCAAGGCGACGAUACAUAGCCGACCUGAGAGGGUGAUCGGCCACACUGGUACUGAGACACGGCCCAGACUCCUACGGGAGGCAGCGUUAAGUUUUCUUCGGACAUGGAUGGAAGUGUGACCGAUUUACGCCGUGUGAUGAAGAAGGUCUUUGGUUCCUACAGCUCUGUUGUAACACAACAAUGACUGUCAUAGUGGAAAUCUCCCCCUGUGUCCGUAUCGUACAAGAACGGGACGGCUAUUUACAUGCCAGCAGUUUCGGCAUAAGUAGGUCCCCAGCGCUCUCCGGAUUUAAUGCGGCCACAUCGGUUCACGGGGGUUGGCUUACUCUGAUAAUUUAAGGCGGUGGCUUUCACAUACACUCCUUUGUGAGAAGAUUAAAUCUGUGUGCACAAAGGGUUACGCUAUCCCUUGUGGGCUUCAA